GAUGAACGCUGGCGGCGUGCCUAAUACAUGCAAGUCGAGCGAAUGGAUUAAGAGCUUGCUCUUAUGAAGUUAGCGGCGGACGGGUGAGUAACACGUGGGUAACCUGCCCAUAAGACUGGGAUAACUCCGGGAAACCGGGGCUAAUACCGGAUAACAUUUUGAACCGCAUGGUUCGAAAUUGAAAGGCGGCUUCGGCUGUCACUUAUGGAUGGACCCGCGUCGCAUUAGCUAGUUGGUGAGGUAACGGCUCACCAAGGCAACGAUGCGUAGCCGACCUGAGAGGGUGAUCGGCCACACUGGGACUGAGACACGGCCCAGACUCCUACGGGAGGCAGCAGUAGGGAAUCUUCCGCAAUGGACGAAAGUCUGACGGAGCAACGCCGCGUGAGUGAUGGAGGCUUUCGGGUCGUAAAACUCUGUUGUUAGGGAAGAACAAGUGCUAGUUGAAUAAGCUGGCACCUUGACGGUACCUAACCAGAAAGCCACGGCUAACUACGUGCCAGCCGCCGCGGUAACAC
rnacentral:rRNA from 1 species